CUAUAGGUCUCUAUGGGUCCCUAUGGGGUUUCUAUUGGCUCCUACGUGUCCCUAUGGGUCUUUAUGGGUCCCUAUGGGUCUUCACGUGUCCCCGUGUGUCCCUGCGGGCUCAGCGUGUCCCUUUUGUGUCCCCGUGUGCCCCUAUGGGGCGCCCCACACGCAGGGGGAGGACGCGGAGGCGCGCCGCCUGCUGUCCAUGGCGCUGCGGCAGAGCGACGGCGCGGCGGCGCUGCGGGAGAGCCUGAGGCACGCCGAGGCUGCCGUGCGGUGCCAGCCCUGCGACGGGAGGAACUGGUGUAUGGGGGGCGCUAUGGGGCG
rnacentral:lncRNA from 1 species